rnacentral:rRNA from 1 species
CGGGCUUGAAAUCAUGACGACGGCGGAGAGAGACCUCCGCUUCCUUCGGGCGUCAUGGUAGGUGCUGCAUGGUUGUCGUCAGCUCGUGCCGUGAGGUGUCGGCUUAAGUGCCAUAACGAGCGCAACCCCUUCCGCCGGUUACCAUCGGGUAGAGCCGGGGACUCCGGCGGCACUGCCGCCGCAAGGCGCGAGGAAGGCGGGGAUGACGUCAAAUCAGCACGGCCCUUACGUCCGGGGCCACACACGUGUUACAAUGGGGGGCACAGCGAGCUGGUGUCUGGCGACAGGCAUCGAAUCAUGAAAUCCCCUCCCAGUUCGGAUCGGAGCCUGCAACCCGGCUCCGUGAAGCUGGAUUCGCUAGUAAUCGCGCAUCAGCCAUGGCGCGGUGAAUACGUUCCCGGGCC